rnacentral:lncRNA from 1 species
AUGGAGACGGGACUGCCGGUCGUCGGGUGUCCUGGAAGCCGAAUGCGAAUGCGGAGGGGCUCGCGGGCCGCGCGGAGGCAACCCAGGUCGGGCCAACGGGCCGCACCUCUCGUCACGGGGCGUGCUGUACUUGAGCCGCACGACCCGCGACCGGACUCCAGCCUGCUGACGCCGGCCCGCCCCCCGAACACCGCCAACACCAGACCAGCAAGCGCCUGGCCGGGCCCGGGGCCCGAGGGGCUUCCAGGACGCCCCAUUGACCGGGAGGGCGUGCGUGCAUGCGCGCGCGGGGCCUGGGGCUGGGCUGAGGGUGCGGAGGUCUCGGCGCCUCCCACCCGCGGCCACUCCAGACCCGCCGCCGCUGAGCGGGGCCUCCCCCGGAUCCCAUUCGCUGCUCAGGCCCGCGCGGCCCCGGACGUGUCGGUCUUCGGCGCCCGCCGCCUCCCAACCCCCGCGGCCCAGGGGCCUCUGAACCUCCUGCGGGCCUAGGCGCAGCGAAACUUGAGCGCCCAACUUGCCCGGCACCUGUCCGGUGCCCAAACCCACCAGAAGCCAGGGAGGCGCGGUCGACCGGAGCGCCUCAGCCCCUCCCCUUCGCACUACCGAGGCCCCCCUUUGCCCCCACGCCAAGCCCUCGACCUUCCUGAGAGAGCAGACGAGCCACAGGCAGGCACACAGACAGACACACAGACACUCGCACGCACCCACGCCAAGGGAGACAGCUGGCUCAUGCAAGCUCCUCAGCCAGAGCCAGAGCGCCUGGGAGAGGCCGGGGCCAGACGAAUGGGCCGGCGGCUGGCUGUCAGGAGAUACAGAGGCAGAAAUACAUGAAGAUUCCGAGACAGACUCCAAGACGGCAAGAGGAGAUACACACACACACACACACGCACACACACACACACUUGAGUGUGGUCUUUGGAAAUACUUGUGUUCGUAGUUGCUGGGUUGAGCCCAACUUUGAUACAACCCAUGGACUGUGGCCCAUCAGGCUCCUCUGUCCGUGGCAUUUCCCAGGCGAGGAUACUGGGAGUGGGUUGCCAUUUCCUUCUCUGGGGGGAUCUUCCCACCCAGGAUCAAACCCCAGUCUCCUGCGCUGGAUGCCUUGCCAUCUGA